UCAGAAGAAACGUUCUGAAGCACAGAAGAAGAAGAAGAAGAAAGAUGCCGAUGGGCCACGUCGGUUAAGGAGGAGAGUGAAGCCGGUGGCCUGAUGCCAGCCAUCAGCCAGGCUACAACAGAUGCUACAACAGAUGCUACAGCACGUGAGGAGGGGGGAGCAGGCAUAUGGUUCUGGGUUGAUGAUGAGAGUCGAUUCAAGUCCCAUCUCUAAAUGAAACCGGCUUGUAAAUGAGCCCUGCAGCAUUUGAUUGAGCUGUGCCACACCCGGCGGCUGCUUCAACUGACCCGACCUCCUCGCAGGACGCAGGGCGCCCAGUUUCCAAACGGGAAGAGACUCGACACUUUCAUCUGUGGUAACUACACUUCACUGAAAUGCUUUUAUCCCCUCCUUUCUCUUUUGUUUUUUUUGGCUGUCACAAAGCAAUUGUCUGUGGCAUUAUUAUUUUUAUUUAAUUUUUUUUCCCCUCACACCAGUUAAAAACUACGCAUUACAUCUUGUUUCAUGUAACACAAUCACUUUUCACACCUGGACACAGCCAGACCACACACGAAGCUAAAAACAGACACAGCAGGGCCACCCCUGGACAGGAGCGAGGAAGACCCUGUGCCAGAAACAAGCCCUCUGUGACCUCUGGUGUUUCCUGUGACCCCUUCCCCCCACUCUGUCAUAAUAAACCUGUCACUGUGCUGAAACCAG